CCUAACCAUGCAAGUCGAACGAACCCUUCGGGGUUAGUGGCGCACGGGUGCGUAACGCGUGGGAACCUGCCUUUAGGUUCGGAAUAACUCAGAGAAAUUUGAGCUAAUACCGGAUGAUGUCUUCGGACCAAAGAUUUAUCGCCUUUAGAUGGGCCCGCGUUAGAUUAGAUAGUUGGUGGGGUAAUGGCCUACCAAGUCGACGAUCUAUAGCUGGUCUGAGAGGAUGAUCAGCCACACUGGGACUGAGACACGGCCCAGACUCCUACGGGAGGCAGCAGUGGGGAAUAUUGGACAAUGGGCGAAAGCCUGAUCCAGCAAUGCCGCGUGAGUGAUGAAGGCCUUAGGGGUUGUAAAGCUCUUUUACCAGGGAUGAUAAUGACAGUCCUGGAGAAUAAGCUCCGGCUAACUCCGUGCCAGCAGCCGCGGUAAU
rnacentral:rRNA from 1 species